CGGCGGGAGCCAAUAAGGACCGCACAAUGGGGUGGGCGGCACCGCCCCCGUGCGGACCAGGAGCCCCGGCAGCCCUCCGCUAGGGGGAGCGGGGCGGCUGGGGAGGGGUUGACUAAGUCGCCACUAAGGCGACUCAGGGCCCUCAGCAGAAAACUAACUUCUGGAAGAAGUUGUCAGGUAUAGAGAUGGCUCAAUGCGAGGAGAAAGGAGUAGGUCUCAGUUACCCCACCGUUCUGAUUGUUCCAGCUGGUGGUAUCUGCAAGCUUCUUCCCCACCCCCGGCUUCAGCUCCUCUACCUUAAUUGGGAAUACUCAGCCCCCCUUCAGAGACUUUGUCCAGUGGGAUUGGUUCAAGUUGGCACAAGGACUGCUCAUCUGUUGGGACAGAAGAAUCUUCUUAGUGCCUUUCUCCAUCCUCGAGGUCCGACGAGGCGUCCCCCACCCGGUGGCCAGGAGAGCUGUGGGGCGCAGUUGCCACCAUGCCACGGAGUAUCGCGCCCGCACCGGGUUUUCUCCGCUGCCCUUGAGCCCCGGCUGCGAGUUCGAGCCUAGCGCCCACCUGCCUGCG
rnacentral:lncRNA from 1 species